rnacentral:misc_RNA from 1 species
GAUGAAGAACGCAGCGAAAUGCGAUAAGUAAUGUGAAUUGCAGAAUUCAGUGAAUCAUCGAAUCUUUGAACGCACCUUGCGCCCUUUGGCCAUUCCGAAGGGCAUGCCUGUUUGAGUAUCAUGAACACCUCAACUCUUCAUGGUUUUCCAUGAUGAGCUUGGACUUUGGGGGUCUUGCUGGCCUGUGGGUCGGCUCCUCUCAAAUGAAUCAGCUUGCCGGUUUUUGGUGGGCAUCACAGGUGUGAUAACUAUCUACGCUUGUGGUUUUCCACCAGGGUAACCUUCAGCAGUGGAGGUUCACUGGAGCUUACAAAUGUCUCUCCUCUGUGAGGACAGCCCUUUGAAUGUUUGAUCUCAAAUCGGGUAGGACUACCCGCUGAACUUAAGCAUAUCAAUAAGCGGAGGA